rnacentral:sRNA from 1 species
AACCUCCCGUAGUUUUUUCGCCAGCAAA